AUGUAACCUUUAUAAUGCUUCUUUUAGAGUGUUAGUUAGGCAUAUGUACCAGUCUACUUAGAUGGAUGAGAACUCUGAGGAAAACACUACAUUGGAAUGAAGAAGUUAACUGGACAGUGAUUCAUUCAAAGUAAAAAUGGUAAAACAGAAGUGUUUGGUAUAUAUAGAAACAACUAUGGAUUAUAUAUUCCAAUCAGGAAUUAUAAAGUGGUCAGGCAAGAGGAGCAAACAAGAAGCACUAUAAUCAAACAUAUAAUUUGAGAUAUCCUUUUACGAGUAGCAA
rnacentral:lncRNA from 1 species